UAAAGAGUGACUGAAUUAUAAGUGUUAGAUUGUAAAUCUAAUCAUGAAGCGCAUCUUCCUCUUUAA
rnacentral:tRNA from 1 species